rnacentral:rRNA from 1 species
GAUGAACGCUGGCGGCGUGCCUAAUACAUGCAAGUCGAGCGAACAGACGAGGAGCUUGCUCCUCUGACGUUAGCGGCGGACGGGUGAGUAACACGUGGAUAACCUACCUAUAAGACUGGGAUAACUUCGGGAAACCGGAGCUAAUACCGGAUAAUAUAUUGAACCGCAUGGUUCAAUAGUGAAAUACGGUUUUGCUGUCUCUUAUAGAUGGAUCCGCGCCGCAUUAGCUAGUUGGUAAGGUAACGGCUUACCAAGGCAACGAUGCGUAGCCGACCUGAGAGGGUGAUCGGCCACACUGGAACUGAGACACGGUCCAGACUCCUACGGGAGGCAGCAGUAGGGAAUCUUCCGCAAUGGGCGAAAGCCUGACGGAGCAACGCCGCGUGAGUGAUGAAGGUCUUCGGAUCGUAAAACUCUGUUAUUAGGGAAGAACAAAUGUGUAAGUAACUAUGCACGUCUUGACGGUACCUAAUCAGAAAGCCACGGCUAACUACGUG